UACGUAGGUGGCAAGCGUUGUCCGGAUUUACUGGGUGUAAAGGGCGUGUAGGCGGAGCUGCAAGUCAGAUGUGAAAUCUCUGGGCUCAACCCAGAAACUGCAUUUGAAACUGUAGCCCUUGAGUAUCGGAGAGGCAAGCGGAAUUCCUAGUGUAGCGGUGAAAUGCGUAGAUAUUAGGAGGAACACCAGUGGCGAAGGCGGCUUGCUGGACGACAACUGACGCUGAGGCGCGAAAGCGUG
rnacentral:rRNA from 1 species